UUGUGAAGGCUCCCAUGUGCAUGUAAAAAUUUAAUAAAAUGUGUAUGCAUUUCUCUUGUUAAUGUGUCUUUGUUUAAUGUUCAGAUCCCAG